rnacentral:rRNA from 1 species
CUGCAGCCCGAGUGGUGAUCGAUUUUAUUAAGCCUAAAGCGUCCGUAGCCGGACUAGUAAACCCUUGGGUAAAUUGGGCAGCUUAACUGUCCAAAUUCCGAGGGGACUGCUAGUCUUGGGACCGGGAGAGGUCAGAGGUACUCAAGGGGUAGGGGCUAAAUCCUGUAAUCCUUUGGGGACCACCAGUGGCGAAGGCGUCUGACUAGAACGGAUCCGACGGUAAGGGACGAAACCCUGGGGCGCGAACCGGAUUAGAGACCCGAGUAGUCC